rnacentral:rRNA from 1 species
AYUACSUGUCMAGMAGGCSGCGGGUAWUACGUAGGUGGCAGCGUGUUCUAGUWAUGGCGUAAGGGCUCGCCAGGCGGUUUCUUAAGUCUGAUGUGAAAGCCCCCGGCUCAACCCGGGAGGGUCAUUGGAACUGGGAAAUUGAGUGCAGAAGAGGAGAGUGGAAUUCCACGUGUAGCGGUGAAAUGCGUAGAGAUGUGGAGGAACACCAGUGGCGAAGGCGACUCUCUGGUCUGUAACUGACGCUGAGGAGCGAAAGCGUGGGGAGCGAACAGGAUUAGAUACCCUGGUAGUCCACGCCGUAAACGAUGAGUGCUAAGUGUUAGGGGGUUUCCGCCCCUUAGUGCUGCAGCUAACGCAUUAAGCACUCCGCCUGGGGAGUACGGUCGCAAGACUGAAACUCAAAGGAAUUGACGGGGGCCCGCACAAGCGGUGGAGCAUGUGGUUUAAUUCGAAGCAACGCGAAGAACCUUACCAGGUCUUGACAUCCUCUGACAACCCUAGAGAUAGGGCUUUCCCUUCGGGGACAGAGUGACAGGUGGUGCAUGGUUGUCGUCAGCUCGUGUCGUGAGAUGUUGGGUUAAGUCCCGCAACGAGCGCAACCCUUGAUCUUAGUUGCCAGCAUUCAGUUGGGCACUCUAAGGUGACUGCCGGUGACAAACCGGAGGAAGGUGGGGAUGACGUCAAAUCAUCAUGCCCCUUAUGACCUGGGCUACACACGUGCUACAAUGGACAGAACAAAGGGCUGCAAGACCGCAAGGUUUAGCCAAUCCCAUAAAUCUGUUCUCAGUUCGGAUCGCAGUCUGCAACUCGACUGCGUGAAGCUGGAAUCGCUAGUAAUCGCGGAUCAGCAUGCCGCGGUGAAUACGUUCCCGGGCCUUGUACACACCGCCCGUCACACCAGSGAGAGUUUGCAACACCCGAAGUCGGUGAGGUAACCUUUAGGAGCCAGCC